CUUGUUCUCCACAGAAAGAUGAGAGGAAGGUGAUCUCUCACACUGUGUUCUUUUUCUUUCUUUCUUUAGUGAAAGAAUAUGACCAGCCUCCUCCAGGCUUGAAUUCUCCCAGUGCCUGUAUGGCUGGUUCGGGAACCGAGGAAAACAGUACAGUUUUCCUAAGUCCAAAGGAAACUGAACCCAUAGCCAGAGCUUCUGAUUUUGACAUUCUGCCUCCCUGCCUGGGAUUGAGUGUGUGCGGGCGCUGGAUUCCCUGCUGCCCUACAGAGGUGAACUGGACCACUAGAUUGGCCUCCAGAGGAACCCAGGCCAGGUCUGGAAAUGGGUCAACAGCACCAAAUUGGUCCAUUAGUUUGAAAUACAAGGAGGCAGAGACUGGGCUUUUCUGGACGAAAACCUUGCAGUCAGCAGCUCAAGGUGCAGCACUCCGAGAAGAUGGAUCUGCAGUAAAUUCGAUGCCCCAAGUAGGGAAAGGAGUGUGCAGUUGGAGGGGUGUCGUGAACUCAAGGGACUGAGAGACCAGAUGGGGUAAAGCCUUGUUCUGGUCCCUCCAUGGCCUCCACACAGGGGUCAGCACCACCAUGUUGCACGACGACACUUGACAGAAUUACCAGACUUAGUGACGGACUGUCAUAAAUAUAAAGGGAAGGGUAUACCUUUCUGUAUACAGAACUAUAAAAUCCCU